UACGAAGGGUGCAAGCGUUACUCGGAAUUACUGGGCGUAAAGGGAGCGUAGGCGGGCUAACAAGUCUGGGGUGAAAUCCCGCGGCUCAACCGUGGAACUGCCUUAGAUACUGUCGGCCUCGAGGGAGAUAGGGGCAUGCGGAACUAACGGUGGAGCGGUGAAAUGCGUUGAUAUCGUUAGGAACUCCGGUGGCGAAAGCGGCGUGCUGGAUCUCUUCUGACGCUGAGGCUCGAAAGCUAGGGGAGCAAACGGG
rnacentral:rRNA from 1 species